UGAGACCGUCAUAACUACAAGUUCACCGACAUCCCAUUGAAACGUGUGUUAAACUUAAUACACACAUUUCAAUGGGAUGUCGUUGGACUUGUACUUAUGACGGUUUCAUGAAACGCUGCCCAGAUCCCCGACACCGAACACCUGGGGAGGUUUCACGAAACCGUCAUUAAGUCUAACUUUUUAGACAUCGUAUUGAAACGUGUGAUAGAGAUCUAACACGUGUUUCUACCAAAUCUCCACGAGCUUAGACUUAUGGCAGUUUCGAGAAACUAGCACUCGCUCUGAAUCUGGCGCAUCCACGGCCACGCUGGAAGCUCGGAUCUGACCGCCUGCGAUGCAUGCCCCGGACGCGACGGCAGCCCGCUCUCGAGCUAACUCUCCAUCGCAUCGUGCAGCUGUCUUUCUUCUCUUUCACGAACACGGUUGCCCGACUGAAACAACUAGACCACAUUAGUAUCCUGACAUCAAGAUAGGUCUCUAUUAUGUGCCCAUCCGUCUGAUUAAGUCUUCUUUGGAGCAAACUGUCAGACAUUUGCGGUAGUAUACAGCUGAAAUGGAAUUUCCGUUCAACCAAACAGUAUACUUCAAGGCUAUUUCUCAGCGACGAGGGUUAGCUCCAGGUAGCAGUAGCAGGCUGGAAGUAACACACAUGUGCAGUGUUUCAGUCGAAAACGAAUACCACCCAUUCAAAAUCGGUUAUAGGAUCUUGUCCAUAUGUCCAUAUUUUUGUAUGCAUGUGAAACAUGGACCAUGACAGCAGACAUUAAAAGAAGGAUACAGGCACUGGAGAUGAAAUGUUUCCGCAAACUCCUCAGUAUCUGGUAUAGAGAUCACAUAACCAACGAGGUAGUGAAAAUCAGAAUUGGAAACACCAUAGGGCCGUAUGAAGACCUCCUGACUUCAGUGAAAAGAUGCAAAGUAAAGUGGUAUGGGUAUGUCACAUGAUCAUUUGGACUGGCCAAGACUAUUCUACAUGGAACAGUACAAGGAGGGAGACGAAAAGGCAGGCAGAGGAAACGAUGGGAAGACAACAUUAACGAGUGACCUUGACUGAAACAUCAUACUUCGUAAAGCCAAGAACCACGAGGAGUGGAGGAAGCUGGUAGUAUAAAUCUUCAGUGGUGCCCCAAGGGUCAGCCAGACUGUGGGAUAGGUGAAGGUGAAGGUGAAGGAAGCUAAGAAUCAGAUAGUUAGACAUUAUAUUGGAUCAUUUAUCCUUUCCUUCAAAAGGAAUGUUGCUUUAUACUGUAGCACAUAAACAAUGCUUUUUAAUUGGCAAUAUUUCAGUUCAGUACGCUUGUUAUUAAUUUCAUCAAACAUUAAAAUGUAAAAGGGAGAAACACUGUCAUUUGAAAAUCAAAAUGUAAGUCAUAAAAAUUUCACUGUCUAACUAUCUGAAUCUUGUCAGGAUCCAUGUACGAGUUAGUGCAAUUCUUUUCUCUUCACUACAACCGCAUUGAUUUACUUUAAUAGCAUGUUACUAGGUACAUCAAUUGAUGAGAAAAAGCAGCAAAACGCUUUAAAUUUGUUGUAGUCUUAAAAUUAAAGUUGGAAGUUUCCUAAAAAGGGAAUUUUAGAACACUCCUUCAACUGACAUGCACGGAUGUUAUACUUAUGAAUUUCCAUACAUUAAUGUCUUUGUAAUGCAUGUUACCAAACAAAAAAAAGUAUCAUCAACCAUUCUUGUCAUUUCCUGUGCAAUUAUUUUCACAUCCUGGCUUAACAGUACAUAAACAGUGCUCUUUUAUUUUCAAUAUUUCAGAAAAAUGCAUUUGCAUUAUGAUACAUGCAGGUAUAGUUGGUCAAGUAAGAAUAUAUUUACAGCAUGCUCACUAUGAAUUGAUUAAAUCGCCAUUGAAUCUAAAAGGUAUGUUAUACCUCAUUGUAUAUUCAGAAGGAAAAAGUGUGAGGAUAGCUUUAAAAAAAAAAAAAAUCAUGAGUAUCCAUAAUGAUGUGAAUAUGUACAUGUUUGUUUGUUGCAUAUGAUUCUUCCUUGGUAUCAAAGCUGUAAUAAUUGCAUAUUUAUGAUUCAGCAUAAUACUUUGUUCAUUACAAAAAAAAAUAUGUCAUAAUUUUCCAAAACGGUAGUGUAAAGAAUAAUGUAAGUUUUCAAAUGAGAUACUAUUUUGUCCCCAGAUGAAAUAAGUAAUGGAUCUUUUUUGUUAAAUGUCAGCAAAUGAUCUAAAUGAACAUGUGUUCGGGUAUAUCAAAUCUUGUACAUGUAGUUUCUAUAGCUAAUAUAGUUUGGAGGACUUAAAGAUAGAAAAACUGCUGAUUGAUUAAUUACCAUUGUUUGUAUUGUUCACUAUAACCAGCAAGUAAAGGGACAUUUAGUAGAUGCCAAGAAAGUAUUUCCAAAGCAAUUACAUUUCUCUUAUCCUGUAAUGUAUUUUUUGCGUCAAUAAAAGCAAAUGUGAGGGUUGUCCACAUAACAUCACAACUACAGAACAGUUUAAUUGAAAUUAACAUACAUAUUACAUGUAUAUAUGUGUAUUAUGGAAUAACUUAGAAUAUUUCAUAAUUUGUUAUUAUUAUCCAGUUCAUUACAUUUUUACCAAUGUAUUUCUUCAAUAUUUCUACUUUUCCUCAGAGCAUAUGCUGUGAACUAAUGGAUAUUCCUUGUCAGUUCCAUCAUGUUAUGUCAAUGGGCUUACACUGUAUGCGUGUACAUGUCCUUUUUGCAAUGUACAUGUGCUACGAAAAUGUCAACAAUAUUGUUUGAGAUAUAAAAUAUAGAGUUAACAAGUGAAUUAUUCA
rnacentral:lncRNA from 1 species